GGGUUGUGAGGUUAAGCGACUAAGCGUACACGGUGGAUGCCCUGGCAGUCAGAGGCGAUGAAGGACGUGCUAAUCUGCGAUAAGCGCCGGUAAGGUGAUAUGAACCGUUAUAACCGGCGAUUUCCGAAUGGGGAAACCCAGUGUGACUCGUCACACUAUCAUUAACUGAAUCCAUAGGUUAAUGAGGCGAACCGGGGGAACUGAAACAUCUAAGUACCCCGAGGAAAAGAAAUCAACCGAGAUUCCCCCAGUAGCGGCGAGCGAACGGGGAUGAGCCCAGAGCCUGAAUCAGCAUGUGUGUUAGUGGAAGCGUCUGGAAAGGCGCGCGAUACAGGGUGACAGCCCCGUACACAAAAGCGCAUAUGCUGUGAGCUCGAUGAGUAGGGCGGGACACGUGGUAUCCUGUCUGAAUAUGGGGGGACCAUCCUCCAAGGCUAAAUACUCCUGACUGACCGAUAGUGAACCAGUACCGUGAGGGAAAGGCGAAAAGAACCCCGGCGAGGGGAGUGAAAAAGAACCUGAAACCGUGUACGUACAAGCAGUGGGAGCCCCACCACUAAGCCAGUGGUGAACUCCACAUACGCAUCCUUUGCUGAGGAUGCGGUUAACGGAGCGAAAGCGACGUUCAACCGCAAAAGAAGCAGAGGGGGCUUAGUGGUGGGGUGACUGCGUACCUUUUGUAUAAUGGGUCAGCGACUUAUAUUCUGUAGCAAGGUUAACCGAAUAGGGGAGCCGGAGGGAAACCGAGUCUUAAUUGGGCGUUAAGUUGCAGGGUAUAGACCCGAAACCCGGUGAUCUAGCCAUGGGCAGGUUGAAGGUUGGGUAACACUAACUGGAGGACCGAACCGACUAAUGUUGAAAAAUUAGCGGAUGACCUGUGGCUGGGGGUGAAAGGCCAAUCAAACCGGGAGAUAGCUGGUUCUCCCCGAAAGCUAUUUAGGUAGCGCCUCGUGAAUUCAUCUCCGGGGGUAGAGCACUGUUUCGGCUAGGGGGCCAUCCCGGCUUACCAACCCGAUGCAAACUGCGAAUACCGGAGAAUGUUAUCACGGGAGACACACGGCGGGUGCUAACGUCCGUCGUGAAGAGGGAAACAACCCAGACCGCCAGCUAAGGUCCCAAAGUCAUGGUUAAGUGGGAAACGAUGUGGGAAGGCCCAGACAGCCAGGAUGUUGGCUUAGAAGCAGCCAUCAUUUAAAGAAAGCGUAAUAGCUCACUGGUCGAGUCGGCCUGCGCGGAAGAUGUAACGGGGCUAAACCAUGCACCGAAGCUGCGGCAGCGACACUAUGUGUUGUUGGGUAGGGGAGCGUUCUGUAAGCCUGUGAAGGUGGCCUGUGAGGGUUGCUGGAGGUAUCAGAAGUGCGAAUGCUGACAUAAGUAACGAUAAAGCGGGUGAAAAGCCCGCUCGCCGGAAGACCAAGGGUUCCUGUCCAACGUUAAUCGGGGCAGGGUGAGUCGACCCCUAAGGCGAGGCCGAAAGGCGUAGUCGAUGGGAAACGGGUUAAUAUUCCCGUACUUGGUGUUACUGCGAAGGGGGGACGGAGAAGGCUAUGUUGGCCGGGCGACGGUUGUCCCGGUUUAAGCGUGUAGGUGUGUGUUCCAGGUAAAUCCGGUUCACUUUAACACUGAGGCGUGAUGACGAGGCACUACGGUGCUGAAGCAACAAAUGCCCUGCUUCCAGGAAAAGCCUCUAAGCAUCAGGUAACAUCAAAUCGUACCCCAAACCGACACAGGUGGUCAGGUAGAGAAUACCAAGGCGCUUGAGAGAACUCGGGUGAAGGAACUAGGCAAAAUGGUGCCGUAACUUCGGGAGAAGGCACGCUGACAUGUAGGUGAAGUGAUUUACUCAUGGAGCUGAAGUCAGUCGAAGAUACCAGCUGGCUGCAACUGUUUAUUAAAAACACAGCACUGUGCAAACACGAAAGUGGACGUAUACGGUGUGACGCCUGCCCGGUGCCGGAAGGUUAAUUGAUGGGGUCAGCGCAAGCGAAGCUCCUGAUCGAAGCCCCGGUAAACGGCGGCCGUAACUAUAACGGUCCUAAGGUAGCGAAAUUCCUUGUCGGGUAAGUUCCGACCUGCACGAAUGGCGUAAUGAUGGCCAGGCUGUCUCCACCCGAGACUCAGUGAAAUUGAACUCGCUGUGAAGAUGCAGUGUACCCGCGGCAAGACGGAAAGACCCCGUGAACCUUUACUAUAGCUUGACACUGAACAUUGAGCCUUGAUGUGUAGGAUAGGUGGGAGGCUUUGAAGUGUGGACGCCAGUCUGCAUGGAGCCGGCCUUGAAAUACCACCCUUUAAUGUUUGAUGUUCUAACGUGGACCCGUGAUCCGGGUUGCGGACAGUGUCUGGUGGGUAGUUUGACUGGGGCGGUCUCCUCCUAAAGAGUAACGGAGGAGCACGAAGGUUGGCUAAUCCUGGUCGGACAUCAGGAGGUUAGUGCAAUGGCAUAAGCCAGCUUGACUGCGAGCGUGACGGCGCGAGCAGGUGCGAAAGCAGGUCAUAGUGAUCCGGUGGUUCUGAAUGGAAGGGCCAUCGCUCAACGGAUAAAAGGUACUCCGGGGAUAACAGGCUGAUACCGCCCAAGAGUUCAUAUCGACGGCGGUGUUUGGCACCUCGAUGUCGGCUCAUCACAUCCUGGGGCUGAAGUAGGUCCCAAGGGUAUGGCUGUUCGCCAUUUAAAGUGGUACGCGAGCUGGGUUUAGAACGUCGUGAGACAGUUCGGUCCCUAUCUGCCGUGGGCGCUGGAGAACUGAGGGGGGCUGCUCCUAGUACGAGAGGACCGGAGUGGACGCAUCACUGGUGUUCGGGUUGUCAUGCCAAUGGCACUGCCCGGUAGCUAAAUGCGGAAGAGAUAAGUGCUGAAAGCAUCUAAGCACGAAACUUGCCCCGAGAUGAGUUCUCCCUGAGACUUAGAGUCUCCUGAAGGAACGUUGAAGACGACGACGUUGAUAGGCCGGGUGUGUAAGCGCAGCGAUGCGUUGAGCUAACCGGUACUAAUGAACCGUGAGGCUUAACCUUACAACGCCGAAG
rnacentral:rRNA from 3 species